CUUCUCUGUGGAGGGGUGCUGGCCUCUCUUUGGAAAGACUUCUGGAUGCCAGGAACUCCCUAACACUCUGGGGUUUCUCUUCUUCUCUUGGGGUUUCCAUAUUUUACGAGGCCAGGGUUUCCUUAAGCCUGCCGUGCCAACCACAGGUCGACCUCUGGGAGGACAGAGCUCUAUCCUCUGGAGCUGGCUUCCUCCCCAUGCUCCCACCAGGUCCCAGGCAGCCGGAAGUUCCUCCCACAGCAGCUCCGGGCCCACCUGCAGCCCAGAAUGCUUUGUUCUGUGGGUCCAGGGCGGCCCCAUGCCCACCCUACCCCGUAGAUCUCUUCCUGUAGGCCCUGGUUUCCUCUUCCUAGGCCCCACUCCAUCCCAGCCUGUUCCUCUGCCCCUCCAUCUCAGACCCUGUACUGUGGGCCCAGGCGCUGCCCCAAACUGCCAGACGCGUGGACCGGGUCUCCCGCCCUGCGCACAGCUGACUCGGCCACACCCACUCAGGCCACGCCCACCAAGGGCCCAUCCCUCGGCCCCUCCCUGGCUCGACCCCCACUCCCCCCAGAGCAGGCCCAGAGAGCAGCCGUCUCAGGAAACAGUGGACUCGGGGAAGGAUGCCGUUCUCGAGUUUGGUUGACAUGCUUUAUGUACAAUCAUUCUUAUGACAACAGAAGGGAUAUAAAAAGGCUCGCUUACAGUUUCUUGGAAAUAAUAAAAUAACUUGGAGGGACUCAUAUGCCAAGAAGUUUGAAGAUGAAUGCCCGGCUAUAAAAGAGGACUGGCUUCAUAUUUCAUAAAGCUGCAGCUCAGCUGCCUGGCAGGGUCUUGCUUCGUGGUUCAGGUUGGCUUUGAACUCACAGUGUAGCCCAGGCUGGCCUUGAACUCAUGGCAAUCCUCCUGCUUCAGCCCCGAGUGCUGGGAUUGCAGGCGUGCUCCACCGUGCCUGGCCUCUAGUUUUUGACUAUUACAAAUGAAGCUGGUCUGGACACAUGUAUGAGUUCAGGACGCAUGCUUUCAUUUCUCAUGGGUAAACAGCUGGGAUGGAGAGACUGAGUCCUAUGGUACGUAUAUGUUCUCUGUUUUGCUUUAUUUGGUGCUGCUGGGUGGUGAAUCCAGAGCCUCCACAUGCCAGGCAAGUGCCAUACAGCCUGAGUCCGUUGUGCAACUUCUGAAAGAAACCCUGAGGUUGUUUUCCCCUGUGGGUGCCCCAUUUUUGUUCCCACCGCACCGAAUGACCGUGCCCAUAGCCCCAUAUGCUAUUCCUGAGGGAUUCUUUUUUUUGAGGUGGGGGUCUUGACUAUGUUGGCCUGGGUGGACUUUGAACUCCUGGCCCAAGUGACCCUUGCACCUCAGCUGUCCAGAUGAUUGCGCUGCAGAUGUGUACCACCACAUCUGGCUCCUGAGUUGAACUUCUUUUUUUUUUGAGGUA